rnacentral:rRNA from 1 species
AUUGAACGCUGGCGGCAGGCCUAACACAUGCAAGUCGAGCGGCAGCGACUUAACUGAACUUCGGGGAAUGUUAAGGGCGGCGAGCGGCGGACGGGUGAGUAAUGCCUGGGAAUAUGCCCUGAUGUGGGGGAUAACUAUUGGAAACGAUAGCUAAUACCGCAUAAUCUCUUCGGAGCAAAGAGGGGGACCUUCGGGCCUCUCGCGUCAGGAUUAGCCCAGGUGGGAUUAGCUUGUUGGUGAGGUAAUGGCUCACCAAGGCAACGAUCCCUAGCUGGUCUGAGAGGACGAUCAGCCACACUGGAACUGAGACACGGUCCAGACUCCUACGGGAGGCAGCAGUGGGGAAUAUUGCACAAUGGGGGAAACCCUGAUGCAGCCAUGCCGCGUGUGUGAAGAAGGCCUUCGGGUUGUAAAGCACUUUCAGUAGGGAGGAAGGUAGUGUAGUUAACACCUGCAUUAUUUGACGUUACCUACAGAAGAAGCACUGGCUAACUCCGUGUCAGCAGCCGCGGUAAUACGGAGGGUGCGAGCGUUAAUCGGAAUUACUGGGCGUAAAGCGCAUGCAGGCGGCCUGUUAAGUCAGAUGUGAAAGCCCGGGGCUUAACCUCGGAAUUGCAUUUGAAACUGGCAGGCUAGAGUCUUGUAGAGGGGGGUAGAAUUUCAGGUGUAGCGGUGAAAUGCAUAGAGAUCUGAAGGAAUACCAGUGGCGAAGGCGGCCCCCUGGACAAAGACUGACGCUCAGAUGCGAAAGCGUGGGGAGCAAACAGG